AACAGCUGCUAGCUGUGGACCCUUGGAGUAAAUCUGUAUGCAUGGCCUGCAUAGUAUGGGACCUAACACAACUGGACAGUUGUUUGGAGACUCAACACUGCGUUUUGAGCUGCUUUCUCUAACCAGCACCAGGCCAGUAGUGUGUCUUUGGAUUUUCUAAUCAGUUCCAGCUCCUGAAGCAUAACACACCUGCCUCCCCUUCUUGGGACUCUUAAGGUGGAUUCCAGCUGGCCUGUGCUAUUGCAUGCUUAUGAAACCUCAACCCUACCAUCAUGGGAAAGUGUAAGAGAGCACACGUCCCAGCCUGCCCAACAUCUGCAUCAAACGCUAAGUCAAAAGCUUUUAGAUUCCAACAAUGAGGUUGUUCCUUGGUGUAACAAGAAGAUAGACUAGUUCAGAAAUAACAAGGAAUCACUUCAUAUCUGGACCCUGAAGAAGGCACCGAUACUCCCAACACUUUUUAUCAGCACCUCAUGUUUGCUGGUGGUCUUUGCGCUAUCACAUUUUUAUGUUAUAGCAACAUAGAAAAAGACCUAUAUUGCACCUACUAGUUAUCUGAGGU
rnacentral:lncRNA from 1 species